ACUCAGCUGACGAAUCCCAAAUAGGACGAAACGCGAGUCCUGGAU
rnacentral:hammerhead_ribozyme from 1 species